rnacentral:rRNA from 1 species
CCUACGGGUGGCAGCAGUGGGGAAUAUUGGGCAAUGGGGGAAACCCUGACCCAGCAACGCCGCGUGAAUGAAGAAGGCUUUCGGAUUGUAAAGUUCUUUUCUCAGGGAAGAAGAAAGUGACGGUACCUUAGGAAUAAGCCUCGGCUAACUACGUGCCAGCAGCCGCGGUAAUACGUAGGGGGCAAGCGUUAUCCGGAAUUACUGGGUGUAAAGGGCGCGUAGGCGGGUCGGCAAGUCAGUAGUGAAACCCCAGGGCUCAACCUGGGGACUGCUCUUGAAACUGUAGGGCUUGAGUGCAGGAGAGGCAAGCGGAAUUCCUAGUGUAGCGGUGAAAUGCGUAGAUAUUAGGAGGAACACCAGUGGCGAAGGCGGGUUGCUGGACUGUAACUGACGCUGAGGCGCGAAAGCGUGGGGAGCAAACAGGAUUAGAUACCCCAGUAGUC